rnacentral:rRNA from 1 species
CUGCUGCCUUCCGUAGGAGUUUGGGCCGUGUCUCAGUCCCAAUGUGGCCGUUCACCCUCUCAGGCCGGCUACUGAUCGUCGCUUUGGUGGGCCGUUACCCCGCCAACUGGCUAAUCAGACGCGGAUCCAUCGUAUACCACCGGAGUUUUUCACACUGUUCCAUGCGGAACCGUGCGCUUAUGCGGUAUUAGCACCUAUUUCUAAGUGUUAUCCCCCUGUAUACGGCAGGUUAUCCACGCGUUACUCACCCGUCCGCCACUAACCCAA